CUGACCUCACGCCCCGUCCUGGAACACAGCAGGGGCUCCUGCGGGAAGGCCAGACCUCGACCUUCCAUCUUCUCUCUGGCCUGGAGCAGCCCCGGAGCCUGACUGACAUCGGGCGACUCCUCGCCCUGCUUCGCAAAGCUCGACCGCCACCUCCCCGCCCUCUCCACACCCGCCCUGCCUCUCCCCACUCCUGCCUGCAAUUUGUCGGGGAGAGUCCUUCCACUUGAGGGCUACGACAUGGGAUCUGUUGCCAAAACAUUCCGUCAGCCACGCACAUCAACAAAGGCACCUGCCACGUUGGGAUCUGCCCAGUGGAGAGGCACAUCUGGCAAGGAACUGACGUCUUCAGACAGUAGCUCCUGAGGACCCAAGGCCUGCCAAGAGUCACGUGAGUGAACUUGGAAAUGAGACCUCCUGCAAACAGC
ensembl:lncRNA